CACGUAGGGGGCAAGCGUUAUCCGGAUUUACUGGGUGUAAAGGGAGCGUAGACGGCAGAGCAAGUCUGAAGUGAAAGCCCGCGGCCCAACUGCGGGACUGCUUUGGAAACUGCCCGGCUAGAGUGCUGGAGAGGUAAGCGGAAUUCCUAGUGUAGCGGUGAAAUGCGUAGAUAUUAGGAGGAACACCAGUGGCGAAGGCGGCUUACUGGACAGUAACUGACGUUGAGGCUCGAAAGCGUGGGGAGCAAACAGG
rnacentral:rRNA from 1 species